AGUGGGAUAGCUGGGUCAAAUGAUGGUUCCAUUCCAAAUUUUAAAAGGAAUCUCCAUACUUCUUUCCAAAUUGGCUACACCAAUUUGCAGUCCCUCCAACUAU
rnacentral:pre_miRNA from 1 species